GCAGUGUAAUGGCCCUGAAUGUCCUC
rnacentral:piRNA from 1 species